GAAGCCUGUGCUACCAUAGUGGUGAAAAAUGGAACCUGGACCAGUGAGCCAUGCAUAGCGCAAUAUCCUCUCUUCUGCUAUGGAGUUUACAAAUCAAAGAAAACAGUGGUGAGCAUGAAUAUCCAAACUGAUGCAGACCUUGAAAAUCCAGACAACCGCACCACCCUGAUGUAGCAGCUUCAAGCAUCACUUAGUAAGCAGGGUGUGACUGACUUCAAACUAACAUGGACGAAACAGCCAGUGCGGAAGAGCAGCAAGACAAGAUCCUUGUUGAACCUGUGACAUCAUCUCCCAGAAGAAUGUGCUACAGCAUUGUUCAUUCAAAGAAAGAUUACAUUACAUUUACUCUUAAAAUCGUUCACUCUUAAUGUUUAGCGUUAGUCAAUUAUAUUAUUCUAGACAUAUAAAUGUGUUUUAGUUACAUUAGCCACCUGUUAUCAUUAAUGUUGCGGCUGAACUGAGCUGAUUUAAGAGUGUGGAGAAAAUAAAGAAUGAAAUCCAGAGCAGAGCAGUCAAAUCAGACAGAUUUUAGAGAAGGGCUGUAGUCAUGUAGACAUGAUGAUGAACUUUAACUUUACUACUUUUACGAUAAUAUAUUUAAAUGUGGUUUCUUACAUUGCUGCAAGCUGUGAUGCCAGUUUUAAAAUGCAGGCAGUGACAGGUUCAGUCUUUCACAGUGAGUGCUCUGCUUUUAUGUCUUUUUCAAUGUAGCAUAACUAACACCACACUUUAUCUAGAGUUUAUCUUUCCCAUGAUGUUCUUCUUCUACAUUAACAAAAUGAUUGAUAUGCAUUAGAUCAGCGGUCCCCAACCCCCGGGCCUCGGACUGGUACCGGUUCGUGAGUCGUUUGGUACCGGGCCGCAAGAGUUGAGGCUCAGGUGUGAAAUGUAUGGUUUUCAGGGUUUUUAUCGGUUUUCAGCGUUAUUUUGUUAUCCUUUUUAUCGUUAACUCGGUUUUCCUGGGUCUUUUCAUGUGUGUUAUGAAUAAAUCUUCAUUUUUUCGGUACCGGUACUAGUUUUAUUUUGUUGUAUUUAUCCGCGACACCUUAAAGGCCGGUCCGUGAAAAUAUUGUCGGGCAUAAACCGGUCCGUGGCGCAAAAAAGGUUGGGGACUGCUGCAUUAGAUAAUGUG
ensembl:lncRNA